rnacentral:rRNA from 1 species
GAUGAACGCUGGCGGCGUGCUUAACACAUGCAAGUCGAACGAAGCACCUCUCCCGAAGAUUGACCCAGCUUGCUGUAGAUUGAUUCAUUUGAGGUGACUGAGUGGCGGACGGGUGAGUAACGCGUGGGUAACCUGCCUCAUAGAGGGGGACAACAGUUGGAAACGACUGCUAAUACCGCAUAGUAAGAAGAAUUCGCAUGUUUUCUUCUUGAAAGAUUUAUCGCUAUGAGAUGGACCCGCGUCUGAUUAGCUAGUUGGUAAGGUAACGGCUUACCAAGGCGACGAUCAGUAGCCGGCUUGAGAGAGUGAACGGCCACAUUGGGACUGAGACACGGCCCAAACUCCUACGGGAGGCAGCAGUGGGGAAUAUUGCACAAUGGGGGAAACCCUGAUGCAGCGACGCCGCGUGAGUGAAGAAGUAUUUCGGUAUGUAAAGCUCUAUCAGCAGGGAAGAUAAUGACGGUACCUGACUAAGAAGCCCCGGCUAACUACGUG